CAUUUGUUCUUCAUGGAUUGAAUGAUUUCGAAUCAAAAUUCCAACAGCUGAUUAAAAACGCAACAACAGAUGCAACACCACCAUAUUAUAUGAAUUAUGUAUCUAAUCAAUUUUUUUGUCUCAAUCUUAUUGUCAGAUUCAACAGUCUACAGAACAUGUAGAAAAGCCAAGUAAUGGCUGACUAGUGAUGGGAAUGAAUGAUGUUUUCAUGAGCUAGGGAACUUCUAAGAGAAGUACAUCCUUCAUCAGCAUCUAAGAGUUGAAUUCAAAAGAGAUAAGUUUUCAUUAUCUACUUAACUUUUUGAUUAUUAUAGCUACUGCAAUUAUUAAAAUAGUAGUUUAAACUUAAGCAUGAUUCUUAAUUGUCAUCUAUGAGUGAUUGAAUCAUGAUCUCUCUAUUUACUACUAAAAGCAAGAUAUCUUACUGUUUGUAAUGAGCUGACCUCCAUAUGAUAUCUCUGAGUCACCUAUGAGCUAACCACCAUAUAUUGUCUUUAUUUCAUCUGUGAGAUGACCAUAGUCGAAACUGUAAGCUGCAACUUAAAAGCUUAAUCCUAUAACUAAGAAUUUGUAUCUAUGAAUAGCCUCAAGGCCACCAUGAUAUUGGUUUUAAUCUGAUUCUUUUCUUUUUUUUUUACGUUGGGCAGAAUGGAGGUUCAUCCGUUGCCAAGCUAGAAAUCUCAGGGGGGGAUAGCGUUGUCCAAGUAAAUGGGAAGAUAAUUGAUAAAAAUUUCAGUGUAGUCUUUAAUGUUGGAGAUGAGGUGGUGUUCAGUUCAUGUAGUGAACAUGCCUAUAUUUCCUAGCAACUCAAGACGGAGGCAUCACUAGUCAGCUCUGCCUUCUUCACUGGGCUUAGCAGAAGCCCAUGGUCUGCAGUUUGAAGCUAGGUCCAGGACUCAGCUGCGGCCGGAGCAUCAAUAUAAGCCUCUCUUUUAAAUCUUAGAAAAGAUUUAUCGCUUCUUCCUCCCACCCAAAGAUCCCUCCAUUGUAGAGACACUACUUCCAAAACACUUAAGGUCUUAUUUUCGUGGUUGAAUGAAAUGACAGAGACUGUGUUGUUGAGGGAAGGGAUGAACUGCAGACGAAGUUUAGUGAGGCUUUUGUGAAGUUUGUGUAACCGAUAGAAGUGGCAUUUACUUGCUUCAGUUAGUGUUUUUAUCACUUUUCUUGGUGCUGACUUCAUGAGAAUGGAACUUUCGGCAAAGUUGAAGAGUUCGCGGAGACUCUGAUAAGUAGUAGUGAUUUUUUGCUUUAAUUUAAGUUUCCUCGCUCGUUUGAUAUUGGAUUGUUGCUAUUCUUAUUUGAGAAGUCGAAAUCUAUUUGAUGAACAGGUUAGUGAACUAGAUAGAAGUUGGCAAAAGGGCAUCUGCAAGACUUACCGCAUGCAAAAUUCUCAAACGAAGGUAGAAGAUAACGGAGAAGAACAUGAAGAGCAUGGAACCCAAGAAGAAGAGACUGUUGAUGUCGAUGUUGAUUCUACAGAUGACGCUAUUCUUGUCAACAGUAAUGAAGCUGUAGAAGAGUGGGAUACAACUAAUGAAGGAACCUUAUCAUCCUAAAAGCAACUGGUUUUGCUAAAUAGGUACGUGCGUUUCUGAAACUACUCUGAAACAGGCAAACAAAUAAUUUGCGCUAGCUUUCGUUUGAGUUAACCUUUUUCAUAUCUAUUAAACUUAGAUAUAUAGAAGAAAAACAGUAGUCCUCGAGUUCUGAAAUCACUUGGAAAGUGGGAAAAAAAUUUCUUUACCACUAAUCUUUUUAGCUAACCUUUUUUAUUUUAAGUGUUAAUGAAAACUGUUAUUUGUUUCCC